AUUAAUUAUUUAGUUUAUCUCUUUUUAGUCCUGUGUCAAUCGUUCAUUUUCUGCGAUUCGGUCGUUCAAGUACUGAUUACAGCAACGACUGAGAUCUUUUCGGUCGUUCAUCAGUCAUCAGUCAUUUUUUCAGUACUUCGGUACUUCGGUCCAAU